AUUGAACGCUGGCGGCAGGCCUAACACAUGCAAGUCGAGCGGAUGACGGGAGCUUGCUCCUUGAUUCAGCGGCGGAUGGGUGGGUAAUGCCUAGGAAGCUGCGUGGAAGUUGGGGACAACGGUCCGAAAGGAACGCUAAUACCGCAUACGUCCGGCGGGAUAAAGCAGGGGGCGUUCGAGGCUUGCGCUUUCAGAGUAGCUUAGGCCGGAUUAGCUAGUUGGUGGGGUAAUGGCUGACCAAGGCGACGAUCCGUAACUGGUCUGAGAGGAUGAUCAGCCACACUGGAACUGAGACACGGUCCAGACUCCUACGGGAGGCAGCAGUGGGGAAUAUUGGACAAUGGGCGAAAGCCUGAUCCAGCCAUGCCGCGUGUGUGAAGAAGGUCUUCGGAUUGUAAAGCACUUUAAGUUGGGAGGAAGGGCAGUAAGCUAAUACCUUGCUGUUUUGACGUUACCGACAGAAUAAGCACCGGCUAACUCUGUGCCAGCAGCCGCGGUAA
rnacentral:rRNA from 1 species